rnacentral:rRNA from 1 species
AUUGAACGCUGGCGGCAUGCCUUACACAUGCAAGUCGAACGGUAACAGGUUAAGCUGACGAGUGGCGAACGGGUGAGUAAUGUAUCGGAACGUGCCCAGUCGUGGGGGAUAACUGCUCGAAAGAGCAGCUAAUACCGCAUACGACCUGAGGGUGAAAGCGGGGGAUCGCAAGACCUCGCGCGAUUGGAGCGGCCGAUAUCAGAUUAGGUAGUUGGUGGGGUAAAGGCCCACCAAGCCGACGAUCUGUAGCUGGUCUGAGAGGACGACCAGCCACACUGGGACUGAGACACGGCCCAGACUCCUACGGGAGGCAGCAGUGGGGAAUUUUGGACAAUGGGCGCAAGCCUGAUCCAGCCAUGCCGCGUGCGGGAAGAAGGCCUCCGGGUUGUAAACCGCUUUUGUCAGGGAAGAAAAGGUUCUGGCUAAUACCUGGGACUCAUGACGGUACCUGAAGAAUAAGCACCGGCUAACUACGUGCCAGCCGCCGCCGUAAUAC